ACUCAAAUGAAUAGACGGGGGCCCGCACAAGCAGCGGAGCGUGUGGUUUAAUUCGAGGCUACACGAAGAACCUUACCUGGGCUUGACAUGGCGGUGGUAGGGAACCGAAAGGGGACCGACCUUCGGGAGCCGUCACAGGUGCUGCAUGGCUGUCGUCAGCUCGUGUCGUGAGAUGUUCGGUUAAGUCCGGUAACGAGCGCAACCCUCGGGUCUAGUUACAAGUGUCUAGACCGACUGCCCGUGCAAAGCGGGAGGAAGGUGGGGAUGACGUCAAGUCAGCAUGGCCUUGAUGUCCAGGGCUACACACACGCUACAAUGGCCGGUCUAAUGGGUCGCCAACCCGCGAGGGGGAGCCAAUCCAGGCAAAACCGGUCUCAGUUCGGAUUGCAGGCUGCAACCCGCCUGCAUGAAGUCGGAGUUGCUAGUAAACGCCGGUCAGCCAUACGGCGUUGAAUACGUUCCCGGGCCUUGUACACACCGCCCGU
rnacentral:rRNA from 1 species